rnacentral:lncRNA from 1 species
UUUGAGAAAUGCUUCAUUUGAGAAGAGUACAAGCUUUGGAAGGAGAGCAACUAUCUACCAUACUGGAAUAUGCUCUACUAUUCUAUUGUUCGUGACUAUGUGAGAUGGUGAAACUCUAAAUCACAGAAUUAUGUAUCCAUUUUAAAGAUCUGAGAUGAGCUAAAGUGACUUCAGUUGAUGUGUUCUAUUUUAAACCCACAUGAAGAAUAAACAAAGUACAGGAAACAACCUCAAUAGUGACACAGACAAGCUUCAAUAAGAAUGGAAUUUCCAAAUGUAAUAAUAAAUGGCACAUUACCAUCAGCCCUCCUGUUGAUUUUCGUCUGAGUAUCCAGGCUUCAGUGAUUGCCGGCAUGGCUACUAACUGCAGAAUCAUUCAAGUAAUACGACACAGCUAUUUUGCUGAUGACUACUCUGAAUUUAACAUUUCUUAUGCUCAAGAGUCUUUCAAAAAUAAAAAAAAGUAAUGGUCUUUACUAGAAUUUUGUUAAAGAAAAAUGUCAUAAAUAUGCAAAAUAUAAAAUAGAAACCAAGGUAAUUACGAAAUAAUAAAGGCAGAGCAUGCAACAUCCAAUAUCUGAAAUAAUAUUCAUGAGUAUAUUUUAAACUAUUCAAAAUAUUCAUUUUUAUUAAUAUCCUGCAGAAUAUUUUAUGAUUUUCUGAAUUCCAUGAUGUGUGAAUGUUGACCAGAUGUUUAAUGUUACUGCUAGUAACAUCAGCAUACUUGGAUUUAUCUUUUAAAGGGACUUUACCCAGAAAGAAUUUAUGACAAUAUGUAAUCACUGAAAAUGUACACUAAAUUAUUCUGACUUGUAAGCAUGCAGAAUAGAUUUGUUAAAUUUUAGUAAAGUCCAGCUAUGUUCUUGAAGUCAGAAAAAAAUAAAAUAAGGUAAUUUUCUCUAAUAAACUCAUAUAAGCAAGUUAGAGGUUUUGAUUAAUAUUAACAAGUCUUCCAUUUAGAAUUUAAGGCAUGCUCUUUGCUGUAAGUAGGAAUUAAUUUAGAAAUAUUAUAUAUAAAUUAAUGUAAAUAACCUUACACAAAAUAAUUAUGAAUUAAAUAAUCUUCUCGCAAAAGAUAUAUUGAAGUCCUGACUCCCACCCCACCCACUACUUCAGACUAUGGUCUCAUUUGGAAAUGGGGUCUUGCAGUUAUGAAUCACAUUAAGAUUAAGUCAUAUUGCAGUGGGAUGUGUCCCUAACUUAAUAUGACUGUGUCCUUAUAAAACAAUGGCCUU